UACCCACAGGCAAUGGACAAAGAGACACCUUCUUGGUGGUGGUGUUCUUAUGUAAGUCAGGGCCAGAGCCAAUGGCAGUCCUUUGUUCAUCUUGGCUUGAUGCAUGUCUUGUGUCCAAAGCUAUUUUAUUCCAAGGACUCAUAA